GUUGCUUCAUAUGGUGAACUCUCUCUUGUAAAAAUGGGGGAUGUUCAAGUUUCCGAAGCAUAGAUUAAUAAUUUUUUGCCAGUAUUUAAACAGCGCCGUGUGUUCUUUCUUGUUGCACCGUGCUACCUGUCUCCUGGUACAUUU